AUACACACACAAAAAGCACGAUGCUUGGGUGUUCAUGUCUUUGCAUGGUGUGUGUGUCCCAUGACUUUGUUACAACCUUGGCACAUGACCUUUUUCUGACU